rnacentral:rRNA from 1 species
UACGAAGGGGGCUAGCGUUGCUCGGAAUCACUGGGCGUAAAGGGGUGCGUAGGCGGGUCGUUUAAGUUCAGAGGUGAAAGCCUGGAGCUCAACUCCAGAACUGCCUUUGAUACUGAGGAUCUCGAGUUCGGGGAGAGGUGAGUGGAACUGCGAGUGUAGAGGUGAAAUUCGUAGAUAUUCGCAAGAACACCAGUGGCGAAGGCGGCUCACUGGCCCGAUACUGACGCUGAGGCACGAAAGCGUGGGGAGCAAACAGGG